AGAGUUUGAUCAUGGCUCAGAUUGAACGCUGGCGGCAUGCCUUACACAUGCAAGUCGAACGGCAGCACGGGGGCAACCCUGGUGGCGAGUGGCGAACGGGUGAGUAACACAUCGGAACGUACCCAGUUGUGGGGGAUAACCAGUCGAAGGACGGGCUAAUACCGCAUGAUCUGGCGACAGCAAAGCGGGGGAUCGGUAACGACCUCGCGCGAUUGGAGCGGCCGAUGUCCGAUUAGCUAGUUGAUGGGGUAAAGGCCCACCAAGGCUUUGAUCGGUAGCUGGUCUGAGAGGAUGAUCAGCCACACUGGGACUGAGACACGGCCCAGACUCCUACGGGAGGCAGCAGUGGGGAAUUUUGGACAAUGGGGGCAACCCUGAUCCAGCCAUGCCGCGUGAGUGAAGAAGGCCUUCGGGUUGUAAAGCUCUUUCGGUAGGAACGAAACGGUUACGGUUAAUACCUGUGACUAAUGACGGUACUACAGAAGAAGCACCGGCUAACUACGUGCCAGCGGCCGCGGUA
rnacentral:rRNA from 1 species